UUAGCCACCACCAGGACAAUUCAGGAAAAUUCUUGUUUAAAUUCAGCCAAACACCUGACUGGAGGCAAAGAAGAGGGAAAACAGAGGCAAGGAUGCAUACUAGUUUCCUAUUGCUGCCGUAACAAAUUACCGCAAACUUAGUGCCUUGGAACAAUACCAGUUUAUUCUCUCAUGGUUCAGGACAUCAGACGUGUGACGCAGCUCACCGGGCUAAACCACGCUGUCAGCUGCUGCGCUCCUUCUGGAGGCUCCAGGCCAGAAUCUGUUUCCUUGCCUUUUCCAGCUUCAAGAAGCUGCCUGCAUUCCUCAGCUGGUGGCCCCUUCCUCCGUCGUCACAGCCGGCCACAUCGUCUCUCUCUGACUCUGCUGAUGUCAUCACAAAUCUCUCUGACCAUCAGCCCCGGCUGGAAAUGAGUCUCUGCCUUUCAGGCCUCCCGUGAUUAGACCGAGCCCACCUGGAGGGAUAAUCCAGGAUAAGACCCCCAUAUCAAUGGCCAUCACCUCAGCCACAUCUGCAAAGUCCCUUUGCCAUGUAAUGUAACAUAGUCACCAGUUCUGGACAUUACUGCAUAGACGUCUUGGGCAGGGGGCAUAAUUCUGCCCAUCAUAGAAAGUGAUGAAAGAAAUUUUCCCAGAAGCAAAAGACACGAAAGUGACCUUAAAUCCAUCCAUUCAUUGAACAAUCACAUACUGAGCACCUGCUUUGUGCCAGGCCUCUGCUAUGUCCUGAGGAUAGAGCGGUAAGGGUGUCAGCAAGCACUGCCCUCCUGAAGCUUACAUUCCAGAGGAGGGAGAAAGACAAUUUGCAAGAGAACUAACAGAAAGGCUAGGUGACGGCAGGCAUGAUGAGGCCCAGAAGGAAAUGUUAAAGUGGCAUGGGAGAAGGGGAGGAAUACUCGGAGAGAAGGUAGAAAGGCCUCUCAGAGGAGAAAACACGAAGGAUGGGAAAGGAGAAGCUAUUCGAGGGAGGAGAGCUCUGGUCAGAAGAAAAAGCCAGUGCAAAGGCCCUGAGGGAUCUGUGAGUGUCUCACGUGUCAACACACGACCAAAGGCCAGUCCGGGGGAUCACGGAGGCAGCUCAGCCACAGGUUUUCCCGGCCCAGCACACACGGCUCCUCGGCCUCUCUGCCUACCCUCACCACACCCAUCCAGCUACAGAGACCCAGAGAUCUGCUCAAACCUGCAAGCCGCACGGAAAUCCACGCAGGGCUGGGCGCCAUGGGGAUGCGCAGCCACUUCUCCAAGGAGGGCCUUUUUCCUGCAAUACCCACUGGGGGUUUCAAAAAGGGCUCCUUGAAGAGUCCUCAAGGUCCCUUAGAUGUCCC
rnacentral:lncRNA from 1 species